GCCUAGUUAGCUUGGAGGGUAGCGCGUCUGCCUUGCAAGCACAAGGACUUGGGUUCGAUUCCCGUCCGGGGCG
rnacentral:tRNA from 1 species